CGUUGAUUACUUUGCAAUGGGUCGGAACGGCUUGUAGUCCUUCAGCAGGACCCCUGCACUUUCUCUCCCCUCCCCCCCACAAAAAAGCCUUGAAAGUUUUUAGAGUGUCUGCAAAGUAAUCUCUACCAGGCGCAGGGAAAUGGUUAACUUGUCACAACAGAAGACCCAAAACGAGGAGAAGGUUACUGAAUGCGUUUUAAUUGUUGCAGCUAAUGUGUCCUGUUUUUACUUUGGCUAUUGUGGAUCCAUGAACGGUUUCCCAUGACAAGCAGAAUGGAUUUUCAGCUCUUUUUAAUACACUGGAGCCAGCAGGGCACUUUCUGGGAAAGGGUUAAUUAAAAGGUCUACUCUGGUCACCCUGUCUCUGGAGGUGGCAUCAUCUAUCAUGCAUCUUUUAGAAGAAAAAAAGAAAAGGUUCCCUACAACUGAAGACCACUGAAUUACUUAGUCACAAAAUUCUACAGAAAUGAUUUGGAGAGAGGACCUGGUCAAUUGACAAAGAUUAUGUAAAACACACAGGCUCCUCCUGAUAUCCCCUUAGGAGUAAAGCUGUUAGUUGUGUUGAUAAUAACAAUGUAAUGGUUGCAAGAAUAGACACAACAGCCUUCAAUCUGGAAAGUGGCUGUUUGCAUCUCAAACAGGAGAGAUGCUGACAUUGUUUAUCUAGAUUUGAGUAAAGACCCUCCCCACA